GACGAACGCUGGCGGCGUGCCUAAUACAUGCAAGUCGAACGCUUCUUUCAUCAGGAGUGCUUGCACUCAAUAGGAGCGAGGGGUGGCGGACGGGUGGGAAACCCGUGGGAAAACUACCCAUCAGAGUGGGAUAACACGUGCAAACAGGUGCUAAUACCGCAUAACAGUUUAUGCAGCAUGGAAAGAGGGUGUAGGGCGCUUUUGGGUGUGGAUGAUGGCUGGAUCCGCGCUGCAUUAGCUAGUUGGUGAGGUAACGGCUCACCAAGGCAACGAUGCGUAGCCGACCUGAGAGGGUGAUCGGCCACACUGGGACUGAGACACGGCCCAGACUCCUACGGGAGGCAGCAGUAGGGAAUCUUCGGCAAUGGACGAAAGUCUGACCGAGCGACGCCGCGUGAGUGAUGAAGGUCUUCGGAUCGUAAAACUCUGUUAUUAGGGAAGAACAAGUGCGUUAGUAACUAUGCACCCCCUGACGGUACCUAACCAGAAAGCCACGGCUAACUACGUG
rnacentral:rRNA from 1 species